GUGCUCACUUUGGCAGCACUAAACUUGGAGCAAUACAGAGAUGAGCAUGGCCCCUUGCAAGGGUGACAUGCAGAUUUGUUAACCAUUACAUGUUUUU
rnacentral:snRNA from 1 species